UAGGGAAUCUUCCGCAAUGGACGAAAGUCUGACGGAGCAACGCCGCGUGAGUGAUGAAGGUUUUCGGAUCGUAAAACUCUGUUGUUAGGGAAGAACAAGUACCGGAGUAACUGCCGGUACCUUGACGGUACCUAACCAGAAAGCCACGGCUAACUACGUGCCAGCAGCCGCGGUAAU
rnacentral:rRNA from 1 species